CCUACGGGGAGCAGCAGUGGGGAAUAUUGGACAAUGGGCGAAAGCCUGAUCCAGCCAUGCCGCGUGUGUGAAGAAGGCCUUCGGGUUGUAAAGCACUUUCAGUGGGGAAGAAAGCCUUGGGGCUAAUACCCUCGAGGAAGGACAUCACCCACAGAAGAAGCACCGGCUAACUCCGUGCCAGCAGCCGCGGUAAUACGGAGGGUGCGAGCGUUAAUCGGAAUUACUGGGCGUAAAGCGCGCGUAGGCGGUCUGAUAAGCCGGUUGUGAAAGCCCCGGGCUCAACCUGGGAACGGCAUCCGGAACUGUCAGGCUAGAGUGCAGGAGAGGAAGGUAGAAUUCCCGGUGUAGCGGUGAAAUGCGUAGAGAUCGGGAGGAAUCCCAGUGGCGAAGGCGGCCUUCUGGACUGACACUGACGCUGAGGUGCGAAAGCGUGGGUAGCAAACAGGAUUAGAUACCCGUGUAGUC
rnacentral:rRNA from 1 species